AUUCCAGACUCCUACGGGAGGCAGCAGUGGGGAAUAUUGGACAAUGGGGGGAACCCUGAUGCAGCGACGCCGCGUGAGCGAAGAAGUACCUCGGUAUGUAAAGCUCUAUCAGCAGGGAAGAAGAUGACGGUACCUGACCAAGAAGCUCCGGCUAAAUACGUGCCAGCAGCCGCGGUAAUACGUAUGGAGCAAGCGUUAUCCGGAUUUACUGGGUGUAAAGGGCGUGCAGCCGGAGAGACAAGUCAGAUGUGAAAUCCGCAGGCUCAACCUGCGAACUGCAUUUGAAACUGUUUCCCUUGAGUAUCGGAGAGGUCAUCGGAAUUCCUAGUGUAGCGGUGAAAUGCGUAGAUAUUAGGAAGAACACCAGUGGCGAAGGCGGAUGACUGGACGACAACUGACGGUGAGGCGCGAAAGCGUGGGGAGCACACAGGAUUAGAUACCCGAGUACUU
rnacentral:rRNA from 1 species